rnacentral:rRNA from 1 species
GAUGAACGCUGGCGGCGUGCCUAAUACAUGCAAGUCGAGCGAACAGAUGAGGAGCUUGCUCCUCUGACGUUAGCGGCGGACGGGUGAGUAACACGUGGAUAACCUACCUAUAAGACUGGGAUAACUUCGGGAAACCGGAGCUAAUACCGGAUAAUAUAUUGAACCGCAUGGUUCAAUAGUGAAAGACGGUUUUGCUGUCACUUAUAGAUGGAUCCGCGCCGCAUUAGCUAGUUGGUAAGGUAACGGAUUACCAAGGCAACGAUGCGUAGCCGACCUGAGAGGGUGAUCGGCCACACUGGAACUGAGACACGGUCCAGACUCCUACGGGAGGCAGCAGUAGGGAAUCUUCCGCAAUGGGCGAAAGCCUGACGGAGCAACGCCGCGUGAGUGAUGAAGGUCUUCGGAUCGUAAAACUCUGUUAUUAGGGAAGAACAAAUGUGUAAGUAACUAUGCACGUCUUGACGGUACCUAAUCAGAAAGCCACGGCUAACUACGUG